rnacentral:lncRNA from 1 species
CAAAAAAAAAAAAAAAAAGCUGGCCCUGGGCUGGGAAGAACGAGGCUGUGGGGCGCCAGGGGCAGCGGCCAGGCCGGGGCCUCCAGCCCUGCGCCACUGCGGAGGGGGGCGCACCCCCGGUCUCUCUCCCCCGAAGCCCGGGUACGAGCGUGCCCUUACUUGUGCCAGUGUCACUAGUGGGUGAAGUUAGAGGCUGUGAUGCACGAGGCAGGCUCUCAUCUGUGUCAAACUUCCUGUCACCAUACUCGUCUUAGGUGUCCUCAGUUGUGGGUUUUUUUGUUUUUUAUUUGGUUUAUUUAUUUGAGAGCAAGUGAGCAGGUGCAUGAGCAGAGGCAGGGGCGGCUGAGGGAGAGGAAGAGAGUCUCCAAGCAAGUGGACGCCCCCAGCCUGGAGCCUGACACAGGGCUCGAGCCCAGGACCCUGAGAUGUGACCCGAGCUGAAAUCAGGAGCAGGCCGCCCGCCCGCCCGACCCUGAGCUUGGCCACGUGCGCUGGCCGCCCCGGAGCUCGGGGCGCUGAGGGUCUGGGCGCGUGGACGGUGCAGCCGGGACCCCGGCGGCCGGGUGUGUCCUGGUCCCCGGCAGGCCGCCCGCAGGGACGUGGGGCUCGGUCGCCCGCUUCCCUCCUGCCCGUUUCCUCUUUGAAUUAAGCGAGUGCAGCUGCUUUCCAGAUGCCCAGCGAGCAGCCCCCUGGGUGCCCGGCCCUGGACGCGGCCUUCACAGCCACGCCGGCGCGGCAAGCGCAGGCCCUGGUCUGCCCCCGGUGCCCCCCGGUGUCCGCGGACAGGGUCUCUUGAAGGCCGACAUCUAAAGCACCUGUGUUCUGUCUACCGCGUCUCCCGGUUGGUUGAGGCUGACAGGGGGGCCGCAGGCCUUCCCCGGAGCCCCGAGCGGCUGCGCCUCCGGGAGCUCACCCCACGACCUCGUGGAGGACCCGUGUCCCCAAGCGCGCCUGGGAGCGGCUGGCGCCUUCACCCUGGCCCGGGCACGUCGGCGACAGGCUCGGUCACCCAGAGCUACUCUAACCUCAGCCCGGAGGCCUUGCCUUCCCCUUCCCCCUCACCGAGGACGGCACUGGGCCCCACCCCACCUGCUCACACAGCGCUGCUGUCCGGGCUGUGGCCUUCGUCCCCGUGUGGAGCUACGUGGUUAAAGAUGCGUUUAUGUAUCUUAGAGGGAGACCGAACAGGAGAGAGUGAGUGUGCGCGCUGCGGGGAGAGGGGGCCCGAGGGAGACGCGGACCCUGAGAUCAAGACUUGCAUGCUGGGGAUCCCUGGGUGGCUCAGUGGUUUAGCAGACUCUCCGCUGAGCACGGAGCCCCACGCGGAGCCCGAUCUCAUGACCCCGGAACACAGUCUGAGCCAAAACCAAGUGUGAGAUGCUCGACCAACUGGGCCACCCAGGCGCACCCAGGCAUUUUCCAACAGUACGUACCGAACAUCCUCUACGUGUUAGGUGCUGUUCUGGAGCCCGGGGAUAUGGCGGUGAAACACGGGUCCAAGGGCCAUCGCCGUGAUGGGACAGUUUGUUGGAAGAGACAGACGAUGCCUUCAUAAGUGGGGUCAUUUCCGAUGGCGACGGUGCUGGAAGACAAGCAGAAAGCAACCGGGAACAAGAACCGAGGCCCAGUGGCCGGGGUUGGUGUCAGCGGAGGUGGCGCAGCGCAGAGGCCAGCCUGGUGAGGAGUCCCCCGUCAUUCCGGGACGAGGUAGGAGCCUGACAAUGACCUGGAAGAAAGAGAGCCUUCUAGUCUGAGACACUGAGAAAAAGGAUCUAUGAAAUGAGGGGGAAAGAGAAGGAGGUGAGGUCAGGUGAGGUCAAAGGAAGUCGCUGCUGGACGUGCGCAUUUGUAAGAGGAGAAUAAUUGUAUGGAAAUCUCAGCUCUCGGAGCCAGAGCAAGGGGAUCUGGUCUAGCGGAAGAAGUGCGUGCGGGAGGCCUCCUGGUCCUGGACGGCUCCGCAGCCCCCUGCUUGUUUCAUGGCAGUGACAUCCGGCCCUCUGGUGGACGAACCUGCGUCCCACAGCUGAAAUUUUAACACUGGGUUUGUUCCUCUAUUUGGCGGAAAAUAAAGGCCCUAGAAGACCCUUUGAAGGGUUAUUUUUCUUUAAAGAUUUUAUUUAUUUAUUCAUGAGAGACACAGAGAGAGGCAGAGACACAGGCAGAGGGAGAAGCAGGCUCCAUGCAGGGGAGCCCGACGUGGGACUCGAUCCUGGGUCUCCAGGAUCACGCCCUGGGCUGGAGGCAGAUGCCAAACCGCUGAGCCACCCAGGCGCCCUAUUUAAUACCUUUUCACACAUUCUAAGCCAUUUGGGUUUUCUCCUUUGAAGUGUUUAUUCAAAUUGUUUCCCCCCUUUUUGUCCUAGUUUUUAAUGUGAUUUGCAUAAGUCAUAUACAUGCACGCACAAGUGAUACCAGUCUGUCCAUCAUAUGCCAUUCAAUUCUCAUUCAACUGUGUGGCUUGCGUUUUUGACUCUCCUAAUGAUAUCUUCGUAAUAAACAGAAAUUCUUAUUUUUAAAGCAGAUUUAUUCAUCUUCCUGUAUAGUAAAUGUCUUCUUCCUUGAAAACCCAUGGGAAAAUCUCCUACAUUUUCUUCUAAAACUUUAUUUAAUUUUAUUUUUCAGAGUACUUUUCAUCGAUCUCAAACAUCCAUGGAAUUGACUUUUUGGUAUGGUAUAAGGUAAGGAUUUUUUUUCUUCUUUUUUUUCUUUCUCUCUCUUUCCCUUUUUUAAGAUUUUUUUUUUUUUUAAAGUAGUCUUGACACUUGACAUGGGGCUUGAACUUACAACCCUGAGAUCAAGACUUGCAUGCUGGGGAUCCCUGGGUGGCUCAGUGGUUUAGCGCUGCCUUCAGCCCAGGGCCUGAUCCUGGGUCCUGGGAUCGAGUCCCAUGUCGGGCUCCUUGCAUGGAGCCUGCUUCUCUCUCUGCCUCUCUCUCUCUCUCUCUUUCUCUGUGUGUGUAUCAUGAAUAAAUAAAAAAAUCUUAAAAAAAAAAAAAAAGACUUGCAUGCUCUACUGACUGGGCCAGCCAGGCUCUCCUCUGUCUCUCUCUUUACUUCUUACAUAUAGAUAUUCAAUUGUCUCUACCACUUAUUAAGUAUUCCACCCUCUCCCCAUUGACACCUUGCCAUUUCUGUCAUCUAUCAAUAUGCAAAGGUCUGUCCCUGGACCCUUUGUUCUAUUUCAUUGAUCUGUCAUCUCUCCUUGCACCCAUACGACACUGUUUUAAUUAUCACAGCUUUAUAAGUUCUGGUAUAUAGCUGGGUGUGUCCUCUUGCCUUGUUCUCUUGCAAGAGUGUUUUGAUCAAUAAUAAAUAACAACAACAAAAAAGGGUGUUUUGAUCAUUUAAAACACUGUGCAUUUUUUUUAAGAUUCUACUUAUUUAUUCAUGAGAUGUACAGAGAGAGGGAGAAACAGGCUCCACACAGGGAGCCCAAUGCAGGACUCCAUCCUAGGAACCCGGGAUCAUGCCCUGGGCCGAAGGCAGGCGCUCAACCACUGAGCCACCCAGGGAUCCCCAAUACUGUGCAAAUUUUCAAAUCAGCUUGCCUAGUUUCACAUGCACACAUACACACAUACAUGCUUCAUUUGGAAUACUGUUUGGGAUUGAGAUUGAUUUUAAAAAUCAGUUAAAGUUAAACAGCCACCUUUGCAAUAGUGAGUUCCACUCAAUGAACAUAACACAUUGCUUCAUUUAGAUUUUUAAAAAAAUUUCUCCUAAUAAUGUUUAAAAGCUUUCUGUAUAGAAGCAUUUCCUUUUUUUAAUUUUAAUUUUUUUAAAGAUUUUAUUUAUUUAUUCAUGAGAAACACAGAGAGAGGGGAUCCCUGGGUGCGCAGCAGUUUGGCGCCUGCCUUUGGCCAGGCGCGAUCCUGGAGACCCGGGAUCGAAUCCCACAUCGGGCUCCGGUGCAUGGAGCCUGCUUCUCCUCUGCCUGUGUCUCUGCCUCAUUCUCUCUCUCUCUCUCUGUGACUAUCACAAAUAAAAAAAAAAAAAAAAAAAGAAACACAGAGAGGAGAGAGAGAGAGGCAGAGACACAGGCAGAGGGAGAAGCAGGCUCCAUGCAGGGAGCCCGACGUAGGACUCGAUCCCGGGUCUCCAGGAUCACGCCCUGGGCUGAAGGCGGCGCUAAACCGCUGAGCCACCCGGGCUGCCUAGAAGCGUUUCCUGCUUGAUUUUUUGAUGCUACUUUAGUGGUAUCUUUCCUUUAAUUUCAUUUUCCAUCUGUUGGCAGUUAGUAGAAAUACUGAUGUUUAGUCCCUGUGUUGCUAAAUAUGCUUGGUAAAUCUAAGUGGAGAGUUGAAUAAAAUGAUUAGGCUCUUAUCCUAAUGGUCACAGAUACAGGAUACUGCCCUUAAUGGAUUUAGGAUAUAUCUUUUCUUCCGAUACAGAGGAGUAUUUACAAACGUUGACCAUCAUGUGGAUCCUAAAGAAGUCUGGAAACACUUCCAAAGAUGAAACUAAUAUAAAGGUCACAUUCUCUAUCCACAGUACAAUUCUCUAGAAGUCAGUAACAGACACAAUUAGUUCUCAAACAUCUACUGGUGCUGCUUGGAGAUUUUCUCCUGGGUUUUAUGAAUCUGGCUGUGGAUCUUUGAAAGAUUUAUACUGCAUCUCCUUGAUGUGUGCCCACAUGUGAGAAUAGAGGGGAAGGGCUUCUUACCUGGAUUUGGAGAGCGGUGUGUUGCUGGAUGUGGGAAGGCAGGAAGAGCACGGGGUUCACUAGCUCACCUGGAUCCCUUGGGCAUAAGCCGCUGACCGCAGUUAGGGGUGGACAUGCUGGGGGCCAUGGCAGCCAGCUUCAAGCCGCUUGAUCCUGUGGCAGUGGAGAAAGAAGAAACAGGAAAUAAGAUAAUCACAUACAUCUGACUUUUUUUUUGUUACUACUUCUUAAUAAUUUUUAUUAAAGUAUAACACACAUGCAGAAAAGUACAACCAUAUGUGUACAACUCGGUGCAGUAUCACAAAAUGAAUACACCUGUGUAACCACUACCUGUGUCAAGAAGUGCCACAUCAUCAGUACACCGGAGCCCUCCCCACCCCGUCUGCUGCGAAACAUGACCCUAUGUGUUAAAAAUGAAACUUGGAUGUGGUUUUGUUGGCUGUGGCAAGACAUGGAAAUGAAGUCAUGAAGGAAGUCUAUUAUCCCUAAAAAUAAAAGGCAAACCAUGUCACGCCAUGCCAGAC